rnacentral:lncRNA from 1 species
GGAAGAGUAUAUAUACAAUGUUGAUCACUCCCUCUCUGGUUCUGUUUUUUCAGGAUUCCCCUGACCUCUACAACAAGUUUGGUUGUCUCAUAUUCUCUCCAGUUCCUUAGGCCAGCUCAAGUUUUAUCAGUAUCUUUUGGACCCAAUGAGUCCUUCCUGGCCUCACUCCAGAAGAAGACUGGCCUCAGUCCAGAGAAACAAAAAAUGUGAAAUUCACCCACUGGAACUCUCCUUCUCCAAGUAUCAGUCUCCUUCCAGAAUUUCCGGCUUCUGGUCUCUUUUCAAGGAAUUUAGAAGUUUCCCAAAUGGCUCUUCAGAUAAUUAAUAUAGUGGAACUUGUACAUGGGAUAGGAAACCAAGUUCCUAAGCAAGUAUGACUGGCUUGAGUAUCACCCUAAACCAAGCAUAGUGUCCAGAAUGAAUCUAAGUAGAAGAAGGGAAGACGAGAAGGACACAAGAAGGAAGACAAGGAAAAAUGUCGACCUCAAAGAACUAGAGGAACAACACUGGAGUUAUACGAAACACCCAGAAUUAGAAUCAGAGCAAUUUGAUUGGAUUUACUACAGCUGAUUCUAGAUACAAGAACUUUACCGAGCCAUUUACAAUUUUUGUGCUUCAAUUUCAUCAUUUUAAAACAGAAAGAAAGCAUUUACCUUAUACGCUUGUUGCUUAGAUUAUAAAGGAAUUAUCUAUAUAAAAAGUACAAUAAAGAAGAAUAUAAAUGUAAGAA